AAGUAGGUUAAACAGUUUUCCUCUGUCUGGUGGACAAUAACCCCAAAAAGGAGCUGGGGUCCUAAAAUGAGCGAAAAACUACAUAUCCCAUGAGUCAGUGACCCACGUGAGCCAAUCAGCAGUAUAAAUGCGCACGCAGCGCGCCAUUCAGUCUCUUCCUCCUGACGGCGCCGCAGAGAAAGAAAGAUCGGGUCAUCCAGAAGCAGAGGCUCCACCCAGCCUCUCCAACCAUGGAUAUAGUUUUGGAUCUCAGGAACUCAACAUUGAAGAUGAGAGCAGUAAAACUGGAAGGGACAACCUUACAUAAAGGUGACUCCCCUGGCUGACUCUGAUCUGUGACUGGAUGAAGAAGUCCUGUGUUAAGCAGAAGUUGGCGUGACUGAUCUUCGGUCUGAUGUUGUGGGCCACAUGUGCUCAUGUGCCUUCCUGGCUUGUGCAGGUCGAGUUGACAGACUGAGAGAAGAGGGCCUGCAAGAGCAGUGAAAGAAAUUGGUCUGGGUUCAUCCAAACCCACGUCAUGUUGCAUUUUCACUAAGAGUAUGGUGCAGUAGCUGCAUCUUGUCAUUGUGGAAAGAAACUUGUUAAACAUCUUGAAUGCAAUAAAAAAAACAUGAAACUUUA